UGGUGCAGUUUCCCUGGUGAUACAACAACUUGUUUACUUGUUUAGACCAGCAUGCAACUUUACAAGCCAUCAUUGUCCGUACCAUGGUCAGGUAGUUGUACUGUGCAGCGUUCCCAAGGGACAGAAUCUUCUUCUGCUCAGGUACUGCUCAAUACGGGCUCCUUCGAUGGCUCCGCCCUUGGUGAAGUUGAUGUCAAUGUACUUCCCAAAGCGACUGGAGUUGUCAUUACGGAUGGUUUUGGCGUUACCAAAGGCUGAAAGGAAAACACAUCAACACACCUGAUGACGCAGCACUGGCUCUUUCGGUUGCGCCGCAUGUUGAAGAAGCAGCUGUCGGCGAUGGCGAAGACGUGCGGCGGCAGUUCACCCAGCCGUCGAUCUGUGUACAUGUGCACAUGCUCAGUGG